rnacentral:rRNA from 1 species
GAUGAACGCUGGCGGCGUGCCUAAUACAUGCAAGUCGAGCGAACCACUUCGGUGGUGAGCGGCGAACGGGUGAGUAACACGUAGGUGAUCUGCCCAUCAGACGGGGACAACGAUUGGAAACGAUCGCUAAUACCGGAUAGGACGAAAGUUUAAAGGUGCUUCUGGCACCGCUGAUGGAUGAGCCUGCGGCGCAUUAGCUAGUUGGUAGGGUAAAGGCCUACCAAGGCAACGAUGCGUAGCCGACCUGAGAGGGUGAACGGCCACACUGGGACUGAGACACGGCCCAGACUCCUACGGGAGGCAGCAGUAGGGAAUCUUCGGCAAUGGGCGAAAGCCUGACCGAGCAACGCCGCGUGAAUGAUGAAGGCCUUCGGGUUGUGAAAUUCUGUUAUAAGGGAAGAACGACUUUAGUAGGAAAUGGCUAGAGUGUGACGGUACCUUAUGAGAAAGCCACGGCUAACUACGUGCCAGCCGCCACAGUAA